UUUUUGAAUGGUCUAGAGAUAGAUCAGGCCUUCGGGACAGAAGAGACAGGUGGUGCAUGGUUGUCGUCAGCUCGUGUCGUGAGAUGUUGGGUUAAGUCCCGCAACGAGCGCAACCCUUAUCAUUAGUUGCUAACAUUCAGUUGAGAACUCUAAUGAGACUGCCAGUGAUAAACUGGAGGAAGGUGGGGAUGACGUCAAAUCAUCAUGCCCCUUAUGACCUGGGCUACACACGUGCUACAAUGGCCGGUACAAAGAGUUGCGAAACUGUGAAGUUAAGCUAAUCUCAUAAAGCCGGUCUCAGUUCGGAUUGUAGUCUGCAACUCGACUACAUGAAGUUGGAAUCGCUAGUAAUCGUGGAUCAGCAUGCCACGGUGAAUACGUUCCCGGGCCUU
rnacentral:rRNA from 1 species